UGACCACUUUAUGAAUCUACAUCGUUCUCAACUGUUCCUUUUCUUUCUUUGUUUCUUUGAUCCUCUUUUUCUCUCUCUCUCUCAAGAGGCAAUGAUGACGAUAGUUUCGGAGUGUGGAUCGAGAUGGAUCGAUCGUCGUGGAAGAAUACUUGCCGAUGGCGUGGCAUUCACUGAGAUUGAAUCAAAAUGCAGUGCCGUCAUUCAUGGCGGUGGUUUUUCUCAACGAUUGAUCCCAUCUUUGUUUCAGAUCUGAGCCUCUGAAUUGGAUUGAAUUAACCAUGUUCUUGUUUUUGGAGUUAUCUUUAAUGCGAUGUUGGGUAGAGUUAUAUGGAAUGAAAGAUGUGAAUUUCUUUUUAGAUUCUAUUCAUUCAAUUUUCUCUCUUUUUUUCCAUACAUCAUCUAACCAACAAACUGUUGAUUAUUAUUCUUUCUUUUUGUAUAUUUUAUUUUAUUUUCUAUCCGAUUUAAGAACGGACUAAUCUGGAGUCCGUUCCACCAUUUGCUGGCAGAUCCAAUUGAAGUCAGAGCAGCAACAUAUAAGUUAUGUACUCCCUCCGUUUUAAAAUAUAAGCAAAAUUCAUUUUUUAGGUUCAUUCAAUUCUGAACCACAUACAUCAUUGAAUGAAUGAACCUAAAAAGUGAAUUUUACUUAUAUUUUGAAACGAAACGGAGGGAGUAUAGACUAGUCCAACACAAUAAUCUCUGGUACCAGAAGGAUUCAAAUCCGAGAUCUAGAGAGCAGUUCACUCAUAACAUCUGACAAACCUCUUUAUUUUUAAUUUUUUAUAUUCAUGAAUUUUUAUUUUUUCGUCGUUGUGCUAUUUGUUGACCAAACAAUUAAAUUGGUCUCUGUUUUUGUAAGCUAUUUUCAAAUAAGUCCGGACUCUUAAUAUUUCAAACUAGUCUCUGACAGAAAGUUUCACAAUCAGGUUUGUGUUUUUAUGUUUUUGUCACAUGACGAUGACCUAAUUGAGAAACUUUUGACAAAUAGAGGGACCAGUUUGAAAUAAAUAUUAAUAUAGUCGGGGACUAAUUUGAGAGUGACUUACAAAGACCGAGACCAAUUUGAUCGUUUGCUCGUUAUUUGUUAGAAUUGUUUUAUUUUUUUUAUCGGUUGUUCAUGGUAAUAUAUUGGUUUCGUGGUGAAACAUGUGUUGAUCAUGUUCCUACUCCAAUUUGAAAGUCACUUUAUUUGAUGUGUUUGAAACAUAUAUGACCAAUGCUUAAUUUAAUUUGAACUUUGCAAUAAAUAAAAGCUUUGUGAUGGCAAUUUCAAGCAUCAUAACAUUGAUUGCCUUGUUUUGUUAUUAGAUGAGCUUUCAGUUUCACUUUACACGAAGGUGUAGUUACAUGAUUAUUAUGUUAUUGCAGAACAUGGGAAACUGGGAAGAAUUGUGUUUCAAAGCAAACCCUUUUGAGGACAAAGAUUCAAGCUGUCAUGUUUCCAACAAUUGUAACAAAGAUGAUAACAAUGAUGGAUUUGCUUUGUUGUUUGGGUUAUAUUCAAAUUUCUUUUAAUUGUUUAACAUCUCUAUAGUAUCGACACUUUUGAUGAAGGUAUUUCCGUUGUCUGACAAGUGUUGUUGUUCAACACCGAUCAUAUGAUCACAUUGAAUUUUAUCAUUUUCUCAAAUUAUUAUUUGUGGCGACAUGUUAGGGUCAAUGCUUCAUAGUUUGACAUUUUCGUCCAGAUAAGAUUAUUCUGAUGAAAGCGGUUCAUGAUUCAUUGUAGCCUGAUAAAUAGUGUAUAUAUAUUUCAAUUACAUAAUUUUAGUGGUUCACUUGAAUGUGAUUCUAAGUUUCUUAUUUGUCCUGUAAAUUUUCGCAUUUGUUAUAUUGAACUGGAUAGAAUAGAAGUUCUUUUACAACCUUUAUGAUUUAGCCUGGAUUUAUAUCUAUAUCAAUUGGUUUUAAUGAAUAUUCUCACAAUCCAAACAGAAACGCACUCUUUCUGUGUUGUCCCAAUAAUUGUGUUUGGAGAAGUUGUGCCAUGUGCGUUCGAUAGUACAAAUUGAAAUAUAAUAAAAUGCCAACAGAGUUGACACCAUAUACCCUUGCAAAUGAAGAGGGUGGAGGAGUAGGUGCAGCUGCAGGCUUAGCUUUAGUCAGGUUAUCAUCGGAGGCCAGAGGAAGUGGUCGAUCAACGAUGUUUCAAAGAAGUACAGGAGCUGGUGGUUUCAAUUCAGCCGCCACAGUACUCAGAAGAUCAUUAGGAUUAGCAGUAAGACAGAAGACACAUGGUUUGGAUCACUACAUGGGCUUCCUGCAAAUUGUAAAACGUGCUGGAAAAUCGGCCGCAAUGCCACCAACCUUAGCAGUUUCAAGGUAAGUAGCAAUCACAACAUUAGGAUUUUGAGGUCUCCGCAAUGACAUUGUUACUGUAAUUUCGACCACAUUGGCAACAUUUUUUUACUUCAAGGUUCACAACGUAACCCUAACCACAGCCACAGUUUGAAACUAUGAUUAAUAGUGCACUUUUUUAGUUGUGAUAUUUGUUAAAUGAAUCAGCGAGGAACCUUGUAUUUAGUAUGUGAUUUGAAUUAAACCUUUGCAGGUGAAGGAAAGUAUGUUGUGGCUCUUUCUUCAUUUAGAAAGGAUUUUGUGGUAGAUAAAGUGCAAAAUUAUGGCUUGCUCUUAUCUGUUCUUUUUUAUUUCUUUCUUCUUUGAUUCUCUCUCUCUCUCUCUCUCUCUCUCUCAAGAGGCAAUGAUGAUAUUGGUUUUGGAGCGUGGAUCAAGAUGGAUCGAUCGUCGUGGCAUUAAUGCAAUGUUGCUUAGAGUUGUAUGGAAUGAAAGAUGUGAAUUUAUUUUUGGAUUCUAUUCAUUCAAUUUUCUCUCUUUCGUUCCAUACAUCAUCUAACCAACAAACUGUUAAUCUGGAGUCCGGUUCCACCAUCCGCUGGCAGAUUCAAUUGAAGUCAGAGCAGCAACAUAUAAGUUAUGUGCAGACUAUCCCAAACCAAUAAUCUCUGAUACCCGAAGGAUUCAAAUCCGAGAUCUAGAGAGCAGUGCACUCAUAAUCUGACAAACCCCUUUAUUUUUUAUUUUUUUAUAUUCACGAAUUUUUAUUUUUUCGUGUUUGUUUUAUUUGUUGACUAAACAAUGAAAAUGGUCUCUAUUUUUGUAAGCUAUUUUCAAAUUAGUCCCGACUCUUAUUAUUUUAAACUAGUCUCUGUCUUUAUCAAACACUGCUCAAUUGGGUUCAUGUCUCUAUGUUUUUGCCACAUGAUGAAGACCUAGUUGAGAAACUUUUGACAAAGAGAGAGACUAUUAAUAGAAUCGAGGACUAAUUUGAGAGUUACUUACAAAGAUAGGGACAAAUUUGAUCGUUUACUCGUUAUUUGUUUGAAAUUUUUAUUUUUUACUUGUCGUUCAUGGAAAUAUUGGGGGGCCGGGGGUUUUGGGUGUGGAGUGUUGUUUUUGGAGUGCAGCGGUGGGGGGCCGGGGGUUUUGGGCUUCUUGCUGUGUGUAAAUGUGGCCUGCUGGUGUCUUGAUGCUGAAGGGACUGGUUUUUUGGGUCCUGUCAUGGCUGCAAUUUUGCUGUUGCAGUGCUGGUGGUGGCCUGUCCUUUGGUGCGGUUUGUGGCUGCAGCAGUGGCAGUUAGCAGGUGCGGUUCUGUGUUAAGUGUUAUAGCUAAUGUUGUUAUUCAGCUUGCUUGACAGAUUAGUCAUUAUGAAGUACAUCUAUUCCAGACAGGUUUUAUGUCCCUUUUUCUUCCGAGUGGAUGACAAAAUCACGUAUGUAAUAGUGAUUUUAUGUCAUAAUAGGUCCUUAUUAUCACAAGAGAUUAUUCCAGUUAAACAGAAUAAGAAGUACAUGUAACUUCAAUGUAAAGGACUGACUUCCAUGAUCCGAAAUAUUGUCCGUUUGGUUUAUGUUGUCGGCAUCAUUAUAGCAGAAGUUUGAAUGCUGCCAUAAGUUUUGCUAUUCGAAGUUGUCGAAAAUGUCUUGUAAAAAAAAUUUGGCGAGAUUAAUGUCAUUUACAAUUAACAUGUUGGUUUCGA